GAGUAAGACCAAGCGGCGGACGGGUGAGUAACGCGUGGGUAACCUACCCUAUACACAUGGAUAACAUACUGAAAAGUUUACUAAUACAUGAUAAUAUAUAUUUACGGCAUCGUAGAUAUAUCAAAGUGUUAGCGGUAUAGGAUGGACCCGCGUCUGAUUAGCUAGUUGGUGAGAUAACUGCCCACCAAGGCGACGAUCAGUAGCCGACCUGAGAGGGUGAUCGGCCACAUUGGAACUGAGACACGGUCCAAACUCCUACGGGAGGCAGCAGUGGGGAAUAUUGCACAAUGGGCGCAAGCCUGAUGCAGCAACGCCGCGUGAACGAUGAAGGUCUUCGGAUCGUAAAGUUCUGUUGCAGGGGAAGAUAAUGACGGUACCCUGUGAGGAAGCCCCGGCUAACUACGUGCCAGCAGCCGCGGUAAUACGUAGGGGGCUAGCGUUAUCCGGAUUUACUGGGCGUAAAGGGUGCGUAGGUGGUCUUUNCAGUCGGUGGUUAAAGGCUACGGCUCAACCGUAGUUAGCCUCCGAAACUGGAAGACUUGAGUGCAGGAGAGGAAAGUGGAAUUCCCAGUGUAGCGGUGAAAUGCGUAGAUAUUGGGAGGAACACCAGUAGCGAAGGCGGCUUUCUGGACUGCAACUGACACUGAGGCACGAAAGCGUGGGUAGCAAACAGGAUUAGAUACCCUGGUAGUCCACGCUGUAAACGAUGAGUACUAGGUGUCGGGGGUUACCCCCCUCGGUGCCGCAGCUAACGCAUUAAGUACUCCGCCUGGGGAGUACGCACGCAAGUGUGAAACUCAAAGGAAUUGACGGGGACCCGCACAAGUAGCGGAGCAUGUGGUUUAAUUCGAAGCAACGCGAAGAACCUUACCUAAGCUUGACAUCCCUUAGACCGGCGUUUAAUCACACCUUCCCUUCGGGGCUGAGGUGACAGGUGGUGCAUGGUUGUCGUCAGCUCGUGUCGUGAGAUGUUGGGUUAAGUCCCGCAACGAGCGCAACCCUUGUCUUUAGUUGCCAGCAUUCAGUUGGGCACUCUAGAGAGACUGCCAGGGAUAACCUGGAGGAAGGUGGGGAUGACGUCAAAUCAUCAUGCCCCUUAUGCUUAGGGCUACACACGUGCUACAAUGGGUGGUACAGAGGGUUGCCAAACCGUGAGGUGGAGCUAAUCCCUUAAAGCCAUUCUCAGUUCGGAUUGUAGGCUGAAACUCGCCUACAUGAAGCUGGAGUUACUAGUAAUCGCAGAUCAGAAUGCUGCGGUGAAUGCGUUCCCGGGUCU
rnacentral:rRNA from 1 species